AGAGUUUGAUCCUGGCUCAGAGCGAACGCUGGCGGCAGGCUUAACACAUGCAAGUCGAACGCAUCCUUCGGGAUGAGUGGCAGACGGGUGAGUAACACGUGGGAACGUACCCUUUGGUUCGGAACAACUCUGGGAAACUGGAGCUAAUACCGGAUACGCCCUUUUGGGGAAAGGCUUGCUGCCGAAGGAUCGGCCCGCGUCUGAUUAGCUAGUUGGUGGGGUAACGGCCUACCAAGGCGACGAUCAGUAGCUGGUCUGAGAGGAUGAUCAGCCACAUUGGGACUGAGACACGGCCCAAACUCCUACGGGAGGCAGCAGUGGGGAAUAUUGGACAAUGGGCGCAAGCCUGAUCCAGCCAUGCCGCGUGAGUGAUGAAGGCCUUAGGGUUGUAAAGCUCUUUUGUCCGGGACGAUAAUGACGGUACCGGAAGAAUAAGCCCCGGCUAACUUCGUGCCAGCAGCCGCGGUAAUACGAAGGGGGCUAGCGUUGCUCGGAAUCACUGGGCGUAAAGGGCGCGUAGGCGGCCAUUCAAGUCGGGGGUGAAAGCCUGUGGCUCAACCACAGAAUUGCCUUCGAUACUGUUUGGCUUGAGACCGGAAGAGGUCAGUGGAACUGCGAGUGUAGAGGUGAAAUUCAUAGAUAUUCGCAAGAACACCAGUGGCGAAGGCGGCUGACUGGUCCGGUUCUGACGCUGAGGCGCGAAAGCGUGGGGAGCAAACAGGAUUAGAUACCCUAGUAGUCC
rnacentral:rRNA from 1 species